UACGUAGGUGGCAAGCGUUGUCCGGAUUUACUGGGUGUAAAGGGCGUGUAGCCGGGCUGACAAGUCAGAUGUGAAAUUCCGGGGCUCAACCCCGGACCUGCAUUUGAAACUGUUGGUCUUGAGUAUCGGAGAGGCAGGCGGAAUUCCUAGUGUAGCGGUGAAGUGCGUAGAUAUUAGGAGGAACACCAGUGGCGAAGGCGGCCUGCUGGACGACAACUGACGGUGAGGCGCGAAAGCGUGGGGAGCAAACAGG
rnacentral:rRNA from 1 species